GGUCCGCUGGCUCAAUGGCAGAGCGUCUGACUACGACUCGGUUACGAGAACAAGUAAUCAGGAGGUUCCAGGUUCGACCCCUGGGUGGAUCG